rnacentral:rRNA from 1 species
CCAUAACCACACAAUCAAACUACAAAUUGUUCGCCAAACAACUACGAGUAAUACUUAAAACUUAAAAGACUUGACGGUACUUCACCCCGACCUAGAGGAGCCUGUCUAAUAACCGAUAACCCACGAUUAACCCAACCACUUCUUGCCCUACAGUCUAUAUACCGCCGUCGCCAGCUUACCUUGUAAAAGAAAUAAAGUGAGCCAAAUAGUAACACACUAAAACGACAGGUCGAGGUGUAACCUAUGAAGAGGCUAAGAUGGGCUACAUUCUCUAACAGAGAAUACGAACAACACUAUGAAAUUAGUGUUCGAAGGCGGAUUUAGCAGUAAGAUAAGAAUAGAACACCUAACUGAAAAUAACGCAAUGAAGUGCGCACACACCGCCCGUCACCCCUGCCACCAC